UUUGUUCCAUGGUGAAAUAAUUCACAAAGAAUCAUGAUUUAAUUCUAGGCACAGAGGAGUUCUUCUAUGGCUAAAUCACUUCAUGAUUUAUUUAUGAAAAUUUGAUAAAGUUUGAAAAACUAAACAAAUCAAUCCAUGCGCCACCUAGAGUCCAAUCUGUUAAGGACUCUUAAAAUUGACUCACGCCACCUUUAAUCUUGAAUUUUUCUCCAAGCCAUCUUUUGAUUGGCACUUCAAUUGUGAUCCCUUGGAUGGCCAAAAUACACUGAUCAAUGGUGGAGAAAAAUGCUGCCCAAUGAAGAGACUUUCUGCACAAAGCAACUCCCAGAUUUCUUUCUUGAUGUUUGUCAUGUGUCAUGUGCUUCUAGAUGGAUGUGGAAAUUUGACUUGGGGCAUGAGAAAAUCUGGAUGGGUGUGAGAUGUCGUGUGGAGAUGGCGCGAGUCAAAUCUGAACGCAUCCCGUCGCUAACUAUAAAAGGGGUCCUACGUCGGGGUUUUAUUCAUUCAGAUUUCUAAUUCUAUCUCUUCUUUCUUACAUCCUUCUCCCUAUUGUUUAAUUAGUCUCUUCCUUUUCUUAUUAGGAUAAGUCCUAAAAUAGUAAAGACAAAUCUCAUUUUAAGACAAGGAUCUAGGAAGAGAUGUAAGGAAGACAAGAAGACAAGAAAGGUAGAGAUAGGAAGGCUAGGAGGAG
rnacentral:lncRNA from 1 species